rnacentral:lncRNA from 1 species
UUGGCGGCUCUGGCGACGGCUCUACCGGCGGUUCUGAUGAUGUUUCCGGCAGGUCCACCUCCCAUGCUUUUGCCGCGGAACAUGAUGAUCGGUAAAAGUUUGUUUAUUGUUGUUCAAUGGAUAUGCUGGUGUGUGCCAUGACUUUUGCUGUAGGAAUAUGAAUGAGUUGUUUAUUGUUUCUAGUUUUGGAAGUGGAUGAAGUGUUGAAUUGGAUUCAUUGCCAUUAUCGCUCAGUAAUUUUUCUUUAUUUGUGGGGCUGUUGUUUGUUUUUUUCUUUUGGGUUAGAAUUUAUCAUUUGGGAUGUGGUUGAUGAAAGGGAUAGGAAGGUAUGGUAUGGUUUUGUUAGCCAUUUCCAUCCCCGAGAGAUAAGGUUUCAAUCUUCAAUUAGGUUAAAGUCUUUUUCUUUCCUUAAAUUAAAAUAAUUAAAAUUACUUUACUGGUUUUUUUAAAAAGAAAUAAACUAUUUUGCUAUUUUUGACAUUUUUUCUAUGCUUUAUUUUUUUUAUUAUUGUGACCAUUAUUAGAGGCACAGAUAAAAUUUGAUUCCAUGUAUAAGAUCAUGAGUUUUUUUUUUUUUUUUUUUACUUGCGUUCUAUGUGAAGUUACGGAAACAAUCAAUCAAAGCACCCAUGGUGGCCAUGGACUCUUCACAUUCGCUUCUCGCUCAUUUAAAUUUUCAACUUAAAUAUAUGAACAUUUCAUUUCUUUCUUGUUUUCUUAUUUUCACUUUCUCUUUAUCAAACACUUAAACUCGUUGAUUUUGCUAAUUCUCUGAGUUGUCGUUUGGUGUUUGUCAUCCUUCUUGAGCACAAAGCUGUUUGGAUUUUCUCGACUUUCUACAAUACGAUAUCACUUUUGAUACUCUUGAUUGAUUUAUAAUUUUUUGUUUUUGUUGAAUAUGGUUUAGAGUGAAAGUUGAUGGGCGAGAAUGAGUAUCAAGCAGCAAGUGAUGAUUGAGAUUAUCAAGUAGCAAUAAUUUUACAUAAUUUCAAAAACUUAGCUUGCCUUCUAAGCUUUUACUAUAUAUUUUUGUUCGAGUUCAAUUUUACUUGUUUUUAAAUGUAGGACUAGAAUGACUCGAGGUUUGAAGAUUUCUCCUAAUAAUCGCUUUCCGGGUCAAGCUUCGAGCAUGUCGUCGCACAUUGGGACAGCAAACAAGAUUGUCAAAGAGAAGCUUACCCCCAAGCAACUGGACUUGUUCAAAAGGACUGUAUUUGGACGAUUUGUGGAUAUGGAUCUGGUUUUCAGCAGCCCAUUAGUCCAUCAUAUUUUAUUACGAGAGGUGAAGGACGAGAGGCCAGAUGCUAUGAGCUUCAAUCUGAAUGGUAUUAUCGCCACCUUCUCCAAAGAAGAGUUCUUGUUGGUGACAGGAUUAUGGCCGUCACCUACCAAACCGGUUCCAAGGGUUGAAGCCACUAAAUCACUAGGAACAAAGUAUUUCGGCAAUGAGUUGGUGGUGGACAUGAACCCCCUUACCUUUGAGGAAAGAUACAAGAAUUUGAACUUCUACGAUGACUUGGACGCAGUGAAGGUUACAUUGGUUUAUUACACUGAGUUGGCAAUGAUGGGGAAAGACAGGACAAAGAGUAUAAUCAACAAAUCACUAUUGGACGAUGUUGAGGACUUGAAAUACUACAAUAGUCUCGAUUGGGGACAUAUAUUAUGGGAGAAAACGUUGAGGGGCCUUCAAAAUGCACUAAAGAACAAGGUUGAUAUGUACAAAAAAAAGGUCAAAUUGAAUAAGAACUAUAAUGUAAAGUAUAGCCUGCCUGGUUUUCCUCAUGCAUUUCAGGUAUUAUCUAUUCCAUGUGUUACAUGUUAUCUUUUAUUACGUUUCUUAGAUGUUGGACUAAUAGUUUAUGUUGUUUGUAGGUGUGGGCAUACGAAAUCAUAUCGUCAAUUGCUGGUAAAGCUGUUACUCGACUGAACAAUGAGGCGGUGCCUCGCAUCUUGAGAUGGUCAUGCUCGUAUUCACUUCCUUCCAAGUUAUUGCAGAGAGACGUUUUCAACUCUAUGAGGGUUAGAACAUACACAAACCCCGUGUCUUGCAUGUAAGAGACUCAAUUUUGUGGAACUAACCUUAUUAGCUUAUGUUUGGUUUAUGUAGAUAGUGAUUUCUCCUACACUUAUUAUGUCGGAUGCGGAAAAGCAAUUUAGAGACAGUGAGGUUGAUGAACGACCCAUAUAUGUAGUAGACCAAGCCAAGAGGGCUCCAUCAGUGAUUGACGUCUCUGAGGAUAGUGAUGGCCCAAAAGAUGCUCAGGGUCACUUCGAUGACCAUGAUCUCCACAACGAGGAUAUUUCAAAUCCCCAUUACGAGCAUCUGCAGGGUCCACAUGCUAAGCAUGAGCGCAGUGACAACUGCGAUGCCCACAAUGACCAUGACAUUGACAACAAUUCCGAACGUUUCAUGAGGGAUCAUGUGGAGGAUCGUCUACCAGAGCCUGAAAUGAGCAUGAAGAGGUGCAAAAGGGAAGGAAAAGCACAUAAGGAGCACAACCACAACGUGUUCUCCUAUCUGAAAAGCUUAGAUGGUCGAGUGUCAAGGGUCGAGGACACAUUGAAGGAGAUGAAGUCGGACUUGCAGACCAUUACUUCUCUAUUGCACUCGUAUUGUAAGGUAUGUUUAUUGGUGGCAUGUUUUCAUAAUUGUUUCGGCUUGAAAGUGAAGUAACAAAAUUUUCUUAUUACGUAGAGCAAGAACGUGUUUAAUGAUAAGAAUGGUGCUUGCGAUUUGGAUUCCAGGCAUCCUGAACCCACAUCUCUCACAGCUCCUUCACCUCACAUCGAAACUACUACUACUACUGGGUUGGAUGAUGAAAGGGCCAUUAGAACAGCAGAGUGUGAAAUUGUUCAAGACAUGGAGCUUCGUAAAUGGGGUUUCAAGUUCACACUUGCUUAAGUAUAUACUAAACAAUCUUAACUUGUAUUUCACUCGUAGUUUUUGAUUUGUACAAAAGGCACCAGGUUAGAUUGUAAAUUGGGGAUGGAAUUUUUGGGACAAAAUUUAGAAAAAGACCCAAUGAAUUUUGUCUUUGUGUUAAAAAAUAUCUACUCCCUUUCAAAAGUUGCAAUACAUAAAUAUUUCAAAACUUUUAUUCUAGAGGAAAUUCAUUGGAACAUUGGAUAGAAAUUGAUACUUUGAACAAUGUGAUCAUGACUUGAAAUAAACAUUGAAUCACAGUUACUAUCAUAUCGUUUCACUUCUCAAUUUUCAUCCAUCAUUCUAGCAAAUUCCAAACUCCAAUCAUAGCUUUGAAAAUAUAUCUAAAAAUGGUUUAAUUGAAUGAGAUAGAAUGUGUAGGGUCAAAUUGAUUUUCCCCAAACGAAAAACUAUUUACUUUAGUUCAUUGAUUUUAUCUAAAUUGGUUGGAAGUGAUCCAACUGCCAUCCAUAGAACUUCCAAACAUGUCUUGAUUCUACAACUUUUUAAAAGUAGAGAACAGGAAAAGAACAGAGAAUGUAUUUAAUCUUGAUUUUAAUCUUGCUCCCACUUUGUUGCAUCUCAAUUUAUAAAAAAAAUGGUGUAGAAACAACAAAUCUAUACGAAAAAAAACGACUUAUCUUCACCACAAGUAGUUAACUCGUUUGUUAAACAAGACAGCAAUUAUCAAAUCAAAAUUAAUUAUUUGAUUUCAUCUCUCUCAAUUACUGAACUAUGAAAGUAUUGAUGGAUAGUUAAACUAUUAACAAUUUCUGUUUGCUAAUAAUAUGCAGGCCAUUACAUUCAAUGGACGGCAUUGGCACAAGCCACAAAUGAUUGAUUAUAAAACUGUGAUCUAUAGAAACCUUUUUAUAUUUUAAUGCAAUUUGACCUUUUCAAUUGGUUAUUAAGUGAAAUUGUACUGUUUUAUUUAAGUAAUACAACAAAGAACAAGGAAUAAAAAAGAUAUCAAAUCACUAUACAAUAUCGAUGGAUCCAAAUGUUUGAACUUAAUUCCUUUGAAUAUACAUGAUCUCCACUAUUAGAAAAUCUAUAGUUUAAUAAGUUAAAUUGUAAGUUAAAUUUCUCAUGUUCUCAAAAUACUCCAAAGCUUACAAAAAAUAUUAGGCAAAAUUAUAUAAAAUACCGAUUUCAAUGUUGCAUGUAAAAAUUGAUAAACAUAUUCAACUAAUUGCGACGUCAAUUUACAUGAACAUUUUUCACACACAUCAAUUGCAUCCUAAUUUGAUAAUUUAAAGACUCUCCAAACGUUUUUUCAAAGUUGAAAAGUUUCAUAAGUGUAAGUGAGGGAAGACAAAUGUCUUGUAUGGACGAAUAUGGUUAUCCAAUGAUUCUUAGAGCUGCACUCCCAUUUUAAACACUUUCAUAAAUUCUAAAACAAAGACAUCGAAGAUGCCGGCAGUGAUUCUUCCAUUUGUCUGAAUUUUCGCUUCUAACAAAGUGUCCUCGUAUUUGUUCUUAAAAGCAUCAUCACACAUCCUCUUCAACUCCAAACCAGUCUCCAUUACCAUUCAUUCCAUAUCCAAGGAACAAGUUUCAAUAAAAAAAGCAGAAACUCCACCAUGAACAAUGGCAAUGGCAGCAAAAACAGAUGGAUGAUGGGUCUUCAUUCAAAGGGUCGAAAGGAAAGAGACAAUGAAGAUCUCCAUCUGUUCCGAGAGCUUUAUAAGCGCGACAAGGAACGUACUGCCUGCUUCCUUCUUCCCGUCGAUGACCUUGAACACAACCAUGGUGGUACUUGCCAAUUCCAUGGUCUUCAUCAUUCAAACCAUUCAGAGUUUUGUUAACUUUCUUGAUAAGCUUAUAAUUUUUUCUUUUGCAGGGAACUCUCCAUUCUACAGAAUUCAUUCAAUCAAGAAAGAAUCUGGAUUUGGACACCUUUUCGAAGGCAACAAAAACGACUACGAUUGGUAUUAAAACUCAUCUUCCUCUGAUUCAGAGUUUGUUUAAUCGGUAAAUUUUCUUAUCUAAUCUUCAUGAAUUUGCUUAGUGAAGGCUUAAAACACCACCAGCAACUCCUUUAUUUCCAUCUUUGGAAAUGGAAGCCACUGCUCCUUCACAUAAGAAUGCUCAGAAAGAGACGCCACUUGUCCAGCCUCUCUCACAACCACAGUCACAGGUGCUCUUUCUUUACAAAAGUUUCAUCGUAGAAAGAAUCAUAGAAAUGAGAAUCUUCACUGUUUUUAUCAAAAAAAAUCCACACCAUUGGAGAUGUCCUCCUGGUCCUUUCCUUAUUUAGCCAACGUGAGACUUAGGACUCAGCCGACCACAUAAUUAGCUCUUGAUUUUCUUCUAUGGUGUCUCUCAACCCACAUAUAUCACUUAAUUAUCCAUUUAAUCUCAUCUCUCAGUAUCACCAAAUCCUUGGUAAUUUUCUGGACAGGCUUCAAGCAAUUCAGAAUCAACAAAGAAAAGCAGUGGAAUUGAGAAAUCUCCAAUCACAAAAGCAAAAAUACCAUCCAGAUCCAUCACUCCCAGUAAUAGACCACGUAUCAAUUCAUCAAUUGAUCCCAAAAACACCAAAAGAACCACAAACCCAUCUCCAAACCCAAACCAUAGAAUCGAUCAGACAUCACAAAUAGACCUCACAGUCAAAAGAAACAACAACAUAAAACCCACAAAUCUUAAAGAAAGUUACACAGAUUAUCUAACAUCAAACCUCUUGAAAGGAUCAACAAACAGUGUAAAGCCAAACCAAAACCAAAACCCAAAUCCAAGAAGUAGACCGACAUCCCCAAUUGUGAGAUCGACAAUAGCAUCUCAAAUUCCAGAGUUCUCAAACGAAACACCUCCAAAUUUAAGGACCGACCGAUCGAGCUCGGUGACGAGAGGUCGACAACCAGAAAACGUGGAGAAAUCAGAGGCGAACCCGAGAAGGCAAUCGUGCUCGCCGAGCGUGACGAGGGGACGGAAAGUGGAGGUUGCGAAACAGGAGAAGAACAGAGGAGGAAACUUGAGCAAUAAUGAUCAGAGAAGAACUGAAACGACGAACAUUCUUGGAAGUAGAAUGGUUGAGAGAGUGAUGAACGCGCGAAAAGCAAUUGGAAAUGAGGAGAGAGAUGUCAAGCCGUCGAGACGAAGAGGAAUCGGAGAAUUCAGGCAAACGGUACGCAAUUCUUUGUUUCCAUAGUCUUCCAUGAAUGACCCACAAAAUCAAAUUUGAAAAUAAAGAUUUAUAACAUUAAGCUUACAAUCACUUCCCCCUGCUCCCUCCUCUUUCUUCCCAAUGCUCCACCUCUUCACCAUUUUUGAAAAAAAAAAAAACUUCCUUUCCAGUUUCCACCAUUGAAUUACGCUUACUUAAAUUUAAACUCUAUAAUACAGAUUCGUCAGAAAUAAGAGUGAGAGAAAUGAUCAGUUCUUCAUCAUAAGGAUGUUCAACAAGAAAUGCAAAGAUCGUACAAGUCAAAUGAUAUAGUGUGGUCGACAUGUAAAAUAUUGUAUUUGUGAUACAUAAUCUCUUACGUUUACCUUUUGCUAUUAUUAUUACUUUUACUUAUAUACUAUUUGUGUUCACGAUUACUUCUACAAAUAGUAUUUAGAGCAAUGGUAAUGAUUUUGGUUGUAACAUGUCAAUAUUAUUUUGAAAUAAAUUAGUUGUUGUAUAGAUGUAUUUGGAAUGUAAUUACCAUAUUAAUUUACAAUAGCUAACCUCCCUCCAAAAAAAAAAAAAAAAACCUAUAACUAUGCAUUCGUAUCUUGAAUGUUCUUCGAAAUAACUAUAAUUAACAUACAUAAUAUAACAUAGGAAAUUUAGAAUUAAAGAUUAUAUAAACUAAAAUGGACUAAAAUUAGUUUUUUUUUUCUUUUUUUGGUAAGAAAGUAUUAUUGAUUUGAUGAAGCUAAGUGGGGAUACCCUAUACAAUACUUAGCGUUCUUAGAUUCGAUUGUUGGAUCAAGGCCUAAAUGGUAGUUUAGAUUAUUGGGCCUGGCCCAAUAUGUUUAUUUAUUUAAACCGACUUGUUUUUCAGUAGUAUCACACUCAAAAUAUUUUUAUGGAAUUAAAAAGAAUCUAAAAUUCAAAAUAUAUGGUUUUACAAAUAAAUGAUGAAGCAGAUGAAUAUAUUACAAUUGAGGGAGAAGAAGUGAUUGCCUGUUCAUGGAAGUAAAGGGACCCAUUGAGAAAAUUAUAUAUAUUUGGACAAUAAGUUGACUUGGAAUAAACAAAAAUUGGUGGGGCCAAAAUAAAUGGAACUUAAUUAAAAUCACUUCUCAAUAUGACAAUACAUUGUAUUUCUCUUCUAAGGGAGGAAAGCUUUUGAUUUCAUAUCAUUCUUCUCUUUUCUUUUAUAGAUUUUAGAUUGAGGAUGAAUAUCAACAUUUCACUAUUUACAUUAAACUAGAUCGUGUAAAACAAAAGGUAAGUAAUUAAAGAAAUUCAUGCAUAUGAAGUGAGCGUGAGCUUGGUUGGUGGGAUGGAAAUUCAAUUCCUUACAUCCAUUUGUUGUUGUACUAGAAAACGAUAGUAUUUUAAAGAUAUUAACGGAAUCAUACAUAAAGCUAGUAUACAUUCAUUUCGAAUUAAGAAGAUAAAUGAUCGUACCUUCAGUUGAAUUUGAAUCGACGACGUAGAGAGAGUUUGAAUAAAUACAUCCAAAACAACAGCACUACCAAAAUCAUACCAAAAUGGAGUCAC